AGUGAACGCUGGCGGUAGGCCUAACACAUGCAAGUCGAACGGCAGCACAGUAAGAGCUUGCUCUUACGGGUGGCGAGUGGCGGACGGGUGAGGAAUACAUCGGAAUCUACUUUUUCGUGGGGGAUAACGUAGGGAAACUUACGCUAAUACCGCAUACGACCUACGGGUGAAAGCAGGGGAUCUUCGGACCUUGCGCGAUUGAAUGAGCCGAUGUCGGAUUAGCUAGUUGGCGGGGUAAAGGCCCACCAAGGCGACGAUCCGUAGCUGGUCUGAGAGGAUGAUCAGCCACACUGGAACUGAGACACGGUCCAGACUCCUACGGGAGGCAGCAGUGGGGAAUAUUGGACAAUGGGCGCAAGCCUGAUCCAGCCAUACCGCGUGGGUGAAGAAGGCCUUCGGGUUGUAAAGCCCUUUUGUUGGGAAAGAAAGGCAGCAGGUUAAUACCCCGCUGUUCUGGCGGUACCCAAAGAAUAAGCACCGGCUAACUUCGUG
rnacentral:rRNA from 1 species